UCAAAGGCUCCAUUUGGGAUGGACACUGAAAGUCUCUCUUGCAAGAGAUGGAGAAGAGACUCAGUGUGACUAUGUUCCAGCAAAAUCCAAAACUGUAUCCUUUUAGAUCCACCUGAGUAAUGAUUAUCUUUUCAUGUUUUUCUGUGAAGCAGCUCACAAGACUGAAAAUUGACGUUCCCAUGUGAAAAGGUCCUGAUGAAGAGCUCAUGCUCGAAAUGUUGAUUCUCCCGCUCCUCGGAUGCUGCCUGACUGGCCGUGCUUUUCCAGUGCCACCCUUUUCAACUCCAUCCUCAAUGGGUUAAACAAUCAACUUAAAUCUUUUUGCGACAUUAGUGGGUGUCCAGACCACUCUGCUACUCAUAUGUAUUCUCUUGACCCUCUGAUGUUUAUAAUGUGUGGUAUGCCAUUCAUGUUGUUGCCACUCACUUCAGGAUGUCUGACACAAGUUGCACAUUUAUUUAUCCAGUCACCUCUCAACAGGGAUUGUUGUCAGGCAGUUGUAUUUACCUCUCCCCCAAGUCUGUCUUGUGGAUUUCUCAUAUUUUAAGGCAGUUAUUGCAAGGUUCAGAAGAGCUCAAUGUUUGACUAUAAAAACCCCUCAGCAUUCAAUCAUUCAAAAUGGUCUCAGCUCUUAACUUGUCACACCCAGUUGAAAAAUAAUUAUUUUUUGUAAAUGUUCAAAGCAAAAAUACACAUCUUUUUAACCCCUGUCCAGCUAAGUCAUCAUCACAAGGUUGUCCUUUCUACAUUUCUUCAGCUUUUGUUGUUUUUUAAUCACCCAUUUGUCUAUCUCCCACGAGUGGGAAAGAACUGUCUACAAUAAAGGAUAAGUACAAAAGACACCACAAAACACAACAUGAAUUACUGUGACAGCAACUUUCUCAGAGGAAAAAAAUUACUUGAAGAGAAAACACUAAUAAAAAUUGUUAAAUGUAUAUGUACAAGUAAGGAGAAGGUUAUUUUGAAGUUUCACAUUAGUUGUUUUCCAGCCUUUGAGAAGGUUUUAAAGAUUAAGCUAUUAUUGUUCUGGUGAUGUUGCUGUGCAAAAGAAGCUGGUCUGGGAUUGGCUGAGUGGGCAGAGUUUCCUGCCUGGGGCCCUGAUCCUGUGGAAAGCCCUUUAGUGGCCUAUCACCUGCCUGACUGGCUCGUGACUCAGCUGAUCGUCCUCAAAGGUGACUAUGCAGGUUUUUUGCUGGCUCAGUGAGUACCAGGUUAAACCCUCAUCAUUUCAAAGGCUCACCUGAUAAACUCAAUUUGGUUCUUUAAAAUUAAGUUGCCCACAGGAAUGUGGGCUAUAAAUGCUUACUUUUAGCAUUAUCCUUGAAAUAACUCCACAGAGGCUGAUAUGUCAUCACACAUUCACCCUUUAUUUCCACAUGAACAGUCCAUGGGCUUAGGACUGCCACAUACAGAGUCAGCUACUAGAAUGUCAGUAUUAUUGAUGUUCAUCCUUUUAAUAUGUCAGCCAGAGCUCCCUGAUUGGAGGGCAUUAACAGUCCCUAUCAGGGAACCCAUUUUCUAUGGAGUCCAGCUGGCUAACCUUGUUAUGAUCACUACAAUAUCUAUUUGGAGCUGUGUUAAUCAAACAGUAACAGGUCAUCAUUCAAAGGGUACAGAGAGAAACUGGGAACGGGAUACUGGAAUUGCAUGAUUAGCACGAUCAUAUUGAAUGGUAGUACAGGCUUGAAGGGCCUAAUGGCCUACUCCUGCACUUAUUUUCAAUCUUGCA